AAAUUGGGGCACACAAUUUUUGUGUCUUUCAAAACCUUUUUUGUGGGUGGAUGAAACCCUCCUUCCUCUUCUUCUUUCUUCUCUUAUUUUUUCUCUUCACAUUUGUUCCAAUCUCGCACCAAAAACCGGGAAGAAGAGGGAAAGAGAGUAAAGGGGGAGUAGAAAA
rnacentral:ribozyme from 13 species